CGCCGGCACCGGCAGGUCGCUCUCCCUCCUUUGCGUCGCGCUGGCCUGGCAGCGCCACUGCCAGCUCGGUACGCCCCAGCCGCCAACCCCCCUCCUCCACGACGACGCCUUCAUCCCUGGCAACACCCGGCAGCAGCCCACUACUGACAUCCCGGAGAAGGCGGCGGCUGCCAAGAAGAAGAAUGCGCCGACCAUCUACUACACCACGUAAGAUCUGCUCUCAAAUGAACUGAAAUGAUGGGGCAAUCUUGCCAGCCAGGUUUCUUGGCUGCUUGUCUUGAAUCGAUUAGAUGAAUCCUGAUUGAUUUCAUUUCCCUUCAAAAAAUCCUGAUUAGUUUCUUGGUUCCAUUGUCUAUCGGUUGCGGGAGGACGCACUGUCAGAUAACCCAGGUGGUCAUGGAGCUGUGCAAGACGAUGGCCAUCUUGGCCUCAAGGAAGCACUAUUGCAUCAAUAAGACCGUAUGCAUGGCUGAGCCAAUUGACGAGGAAUUGUGACAUACAAGACACAUAUAUUUACUAAUCAUUUGGGUUCUUCAUUGUAAACCAUUUAGUGAGACCUUUUCUCCAUCAGCAAGAAGCUUCUAGAUGACAAAGUUCAAGGAUGCCCAGAAUUCAAAAACUGAGUCAUCGUCCAUCCCUUCGGACCGAUGGCUGCUAUGAAGUUCCUGAUAUUGAGGAUCUUCCUAGGGUCGGAACACAAGUCAAAGUUAUUUACAGGAUGUCCAUAUUUUGUUGCACAAACCAUGCAUGGCAAAAGCAGCACAAUUGAUUUUCUGCCCAUAUAGCAACCUAAUUAGUCCAAUUGUCAGGAGAGCAAUGGACAUUGAUAUCAUUGGCUCAAUUGUUAUUCUUGAUGAAGCGCAGUAAGCCCCUGAGUCUGCAGACUCAUGAUUCUUUUUUAGUGUCAUUCAAUGGUUUCCUUAGUUGCAAGACAACGGCUCCGUAUGUUACCGAUCCGGUGUUGCUGUGCGUGAGGACGGACAUGGGGAAGGUGCAACAAGGCAGCGCUCAAGUUGCAGUGGAGUGGAGUCGACCAUCACUACUGACCGCUGCUCGGCGAUCCUCGCCCCUCACUCCCCAUCUAGAUGUGGUUAGGAACUAAAUCGACAAGCAUCGAUAUUUUUGUUAGGAAGGAGCGCUAGGAGCCUAGGAGUGGAACACGAUUUCCUCGAAUCUAGCCGAGAUUGACAUUAUUGAAGCAAAGACCAUGUUUAAAGAAAUGCUACAGAUGGUCACACGCCUCUGCUUUUUUCGUCAUCUUCCAUCGGUCCAAGCUGCUAUUGUUCACUCCGUCGGCUUGCAGUUGCUUCUGGAGCGUGCUUCAGAUUCAUUGUGCCUCCUUCCAAUGAUCAUAUGCCAGAUUUCAGAACAAAACUAGCUAUCAUUUAGUGGACUCGAGAUUGAAUGGCGAUGAUAUAAAAAACUGAGACUUGAAGAUGACAGAAACAACACAAAUUCCAACGGAUUGUAUGAUUCUGGAUAGACCUCUAAGAACAUGGAGACAACAUAGAUCUCACUGUUUAUUUAUUUAUCUAAGGAUGUUAAAUUUGUUACCAUAUGUGUUUACCCACAACCAAAUCAAGUAAAUUAUGGAUUUUCUUUUCAA